rnacentral:rRNA from 1 species
GGUUAAGCGACUAAGCGUACACGGUGGAUGCCCUGGCAGUCAGAGGCGAUGAAGGACGUGCUAAUCUGCGAUAAGCGCCGGUAAGGUGAUAUGAACCGUUAUAACCGGCGAUUUCCGAAUGGGGAAACCCAGUGUGAUUCGUCACACUAUCAUUAACUGAAUCCAUAGGUUAAUGAGGCGAACCGGGGGAACUGAAACAUCUAAGUACCCCGAGGAAAAGAAAUCAACCGAGAUUCCCCCAGUAGCGGCGAGCGAACGGGGAGGAGCCCAGAGCCUGAAUCAGCAUGUGUGUUAGUGGAAGCGUCUGGAAAGGCGCGCGAUACAGGGUGACAGCCCCGUACACAAAAGCGCAUGUGCUGUGAGCUCGAUGAGUAGGGCGGGACACGUGGUAUCCUGUCUGAAUAUGGGGGGACCAUCCUCCAAGGCUAAAUACUCCUGACUGACCGAUAGUGAACCAGUACCGUGAGGGAAAGGCGAAAAGAACCCCGGCGAGGGGAGUGAAAAAGAACCUGAAACCGUGUACGUACAAGCAGUGGGAGCACAGGUUUACCUGUGUGACUGCGUACCUUUUGUAUAAUGGGUCAGCGACUUAUAUUCUGUAGCAAGGUUAACCGAAUAGGGGAGCCGGAGGGAAACCGAGUCUUAAUUGGGCGUUAAGUUGCAGGGUAUAGACCCGAAACCCGGUGAUCUAGCCAUGGGCAGGUUGAAGGUUGGGUAACACUAACUGGAGGACCGAACCGACUAAUGUUGAAAAAUUAGCGGAUGACCUGUGGCUGGGGGUGAAAGGCCAAUCAAACCGGGAGAUAGCUGGUUCUCCCCGAAAGCUAUUUAGGUAGCGCCUCGUGAAUUCAUCUCCGGGGGUAGAGCACUGUUUCGGCUAGGGGGCCAUCCCGGCUUACCAACCCGAUGCAAACUGCGAAUACCGGAGAAUGUUAUCACGGGAGACACACGGCGGGUGCUAACGUCCGUCGUGAAGAGGGAAACAACCCAGACCGCCAGCUAAGGUCCCAAAGUCAUGGUUAAGUGGGAAACGAUGUGGGAAGGCCCAGACAGCCAGGAUGUUGGCUUAGAAGCAGCCAUCAUUUAAAGAAAGCGUAAUAGCUCACUGGUCGAGUCGGCCUGCGCGGAAGAUGUAACGGGGCUAAACCAUGCACCGAAGCUGCGGCAGCGAACGUAUCACCCAAGACAACUUUGCGGAGUUGACGAUUGACGGAGCGAAGCGACGUCAAAGCGUUCAUUAAAGUCGAGUUGGCUUAGGGAUACGUUCGUUGGGUAGGGGAGCGUUCUGUAAGCCUGUGAAGGUGGCCUGUGAGGGUUGCUGGAGGUAUCAGAAGUGCGAAUGCUGACAUAAGUAACGAUAAAGCGGGUGAAAAGCCCGCUCGCCGGAAGACCAAGGGUUCCUGUCCAACGUUAAUCGGGGCAGGGUGAGUCGACCCCUAAGGCGAGGCCGAAAGGCGUAGUCGAUGGGAAACGGGUUAAUAUUCCCGUACUUGGUGUUACUGCGAAGGGGGGACGGAGAAGGCUAUGUUGGCCGGGCGACGGUUGUCCCGGUUUAAGCGUGUAGGUGUGUGUUCCAGGUAAAUCCGGUUCACUUUAACACUGAGGCGUGACGACGAGGCACUACGGUGCUGAAGCAACAAAUGCCCUGCUUCCAGGAAAAGCCUCUAAGCAUCAGGUAACAUCAAAUCGUACCCCAAACCGACACAGGUGGUCAGGUAGAGAAUACCAAGGCGCUUGAGAGAACUCGGGUGAAGGAACUAGGCAAAAUGGUGCCGUAACUUCGGGAGAAGGCACGCUGACACGUAGGUGAAGUGAUUUACUCAUGGAGCUGAAGUCAGUCGAAGAUACCAGCUGGCUGCAACUGUUUAUUAAAAACACAGCACUGUGCAAACACGAAAGUGGACGUAUACGGUGUGACGCCUGCCCGGUGCCGGAAGGUUAAUUGAUGGGGUCAGCGCAAGCGAAGCUCCUGAUCGAAGCCCCGGUAAACGGCGGCCGUAACUAUAACGGUCCUAAGGUAGCGAAAUUCCUUGUCGGGUAAGUUCCGACCUGCACGAAUGGCGUAAUGAUGGCCAGGCUGUCUCCACCCGAGACUCAGUGAAAUUGAACUCGCUGUGAAGAUGCAGUGUACCCGCGGCAAGACGGAAAGACCCCGUGAACCUUUACUAUAGCUUGACACUGAACAUUGAGCCUUGAUGUGUAGGAUAGGUGGGAGGCUUUGAAGCGUGGACGCCAGUCUGCGUGGAGCCGACCUUGAAAUACCACCCUUUAAUGUUUGAUGUUCUAACGUGGACCCGUAAUCCGGGUUGCGGACAGUGUCUGGUGGGUAGUUUGACUGGGGCGGUCUCCUCCUAAAGAGUAACGGAGGAGCACGAAGGUUGGCUAAUCCUGGUCGGACAUCAGGAGGUUAGUGCAAUGGCAUAAGCCAGCUUGACUGCGAGCGUGACGGCGCGAGCAGGUGCGAAAGCAGGUCAUAGUGAUCCGGUGGUUCUGAAUGGAAGGGCCAUCGCUCAACGGAUAAAAGGUACUCCGGGGAUAACAGGCUGAUACCGCCCAAGAGUUCAUAUCGACGGCGGUGUUUGGCACCUCGAUGUCGGCUCAUCACAUCCUGGGGCUGAAGUAGGUCCCAAGGGUAUGGCUGUUCGCCAUUUAAAGUGGUACGCGAGCUGGGUUUAGAACGUCGUGAGACAGUUCGGUCCCUAUCUGCCGUGGGCGCUGGAGAACUGAGGGGGGCUGCUCCUAGUACGAGAGGACCGGAGUGGACGCAUCACUGGUGUUCGGGUUGUCAUGCCAAUGGCACUGCCCGGUAGCUAAAUGCGGAAGAGAUAAGUGCUGAAAGCAUCUAAGCACGAAACUUGCCCCGAGAUGAGUUCUCCCUGAGACUUUAGGUCUCCUGAAGGAACGUUGAAGACGACGACGUUGAUAGGCCGGGUGUGUAAGCGCAGCGAUGCGUUGAGCUAACCGGUACUAAUGAACCGUGAGGCUUAACCUU